rnacentral:rRNA from 1 species
CACGUAGGGGGCGAGCGUUGUCCGGAAUCAUUGGGCGUAAAGAGCUCGUAGGCGGCUCGGUAAGUCGGGUGUGAAACCCCCAGGCUCAACCUGGGGACGCCACCCGAUACUGCUGUGGCUAGAGUCCAGUAGGGGAGUGUGGAAUUCCCGGUGUAGCGGUGAAAUGCGCAGAUAUCGGGAGGAACACCAGUGGCGAAGGCGGCUCACUGGCCCGAUACUGACGCUGAGGUGCGAAAGCGUGGGGAGCAAACAGG